CACAAAUAUGAUGUAAAACUAGGGGGUUUAAGCAAUGGUACAUUUCUAUACAGUUUAGAAUCUCAAUUAGGUCAACAUACUAGAUCACAUUAAAGGUGUGACAAAGUUAGUUUCCAGCCAGAUUCCUUCCCAAAUGAUUAAUUCCUGAUUAGCUAUUAUCUAGGACUCUAAAUGCAAAAAAUGCAUCCAGCAUUAAAGAGACAAAUUCUUGAAUGAGCUUCUUCUGCUUUACUGAACAGCUGAACACGUUUGGAGGAGAACACUAACUGCCAAUUAUGUCCCAUUAAUGAAUAAUACGCCUGGUUAACACUGAGUGACUGAUGAGAAGGGAUGGUCUAUGUGUGGCAGGAUGGGUGUUUUUGUCUGGUCAUCUGUAAGCAUUUGGGCUAAAUAAAGCUCUGUGUUAGAAUAUUAGUGAUUUGCUUACUUUUUCUACUUUAACUGACGUGGGUUGUUUACAAACAUCCAGCAAAUCUUUCCCUUUUUGUCAGCCGGCUGUGGGUGGUGUAAUUCCUGCGUGCCUAAUUCUAAUAUAUGGGUUGAUUGCCUUUAGUUCAUUGGCUGAAUAAUCUGACCUGGGACUAUAUGUAGGCCAGGUGGCUGUUACCUGGGACACACCCUCUGUGGUUCCCACCCCCCUUCCUCGGCGUGCUGCUGGGCGAGGUCUGCAGUUUGGCGUUUGGUGUGGCUGGGUGAAUGCUCUCCUUUGUCUUGGGAAUUCUCCCAAGCGUGCGGUAGGCUCAGUUUGUUUUUCGCUGUUUUCUCUGAUUAAUCCUGGUGCUGAGUGUUUCUCCUGCUCCAUUUCAGUGCUGAGGCAUUUGUGAGGAGAUUGCUCCGGUGGUUUAUGCCACGUGCAAAGGUUUCCGUCUGUGUGUGAAGCUACGAGAAGUGUUGUGACUUUCCCGCUGUCUGCCGUGGAGAAGUGAAGCCUUGGAAGCUGGGGUGGUGGAGUACGGGGAGUGUCCAAUACAGCUCUACCCGUGUGUGUGUGAGAUCACCUGUGUCCCCCUCUUCGCGGAGGCUCCUCCCCCUGCAUUAGUGCUUUUUUUUUUCUUUUUUUUUUUUUUUUUUUUUUUCUUUUAGGCUUUGUGGUUCUUUUCUAUUUUUCCCUUUGCUUAUUUUUGUUAUAUUUUGUGUUAAUUGUUUUGUAUGUCCAGACUCAAUCCUGGUGUGUGUGCUGCCUCCGGUGAGCUGUAGCGGACUGGUUUGCUUUUUUUUUUUUUCUGAACGCGCGCUGCAUGUGACUCAGCGCGCUGUGUGUGUGUGUGUCUGUGUAUGUGUUACUAUACUUCCUGGGUCCUGAGUUGCGCGCUGCUGCGGGAGGGAAAGCCUGUAUGGUCAGUAAGCGUGAUUUAUUUCUUUAUGUUGCCGGGCUGUGUAUGGUUUAGUUGUGUUGGUAUAAUUGUUUAUUUGAGUUAAUUUGUUUUUGUUUUCUUUUGUGUCCGAACAGGAGCUGGAAGCGGUGACAGGCUGCUGAGGUGUUGAAGUCUAACUGGGUGUGCUUAGUGGUGUUUGUGUGCUGUGUAGUGGGGACUCCUCUCACCUGCAGUUAGCACUGGUCACAGUGUGCUCCAGCCCUGUUCAGGUUUUGUUUUUGAUUUUUAGUGUUUGUGUUUCUUUUUGUAUUUAUUUAUUGAUUUAUUGGUUUUGUUUUUUUGUAAUAUUUGAUAUUUAUUAAAAGUUAUAUUUUUAAGUAA